ACUGUUACUGCCUCCGCUGCUAC
rnacentral:siRNA from 1 species